rnacentral:rRNA from 1 species
UGCGGGGUAGGGGAGCGUUGUGUAAGCGGAGAAACAGUAGCGUAAGCGGCUGUGGAGUUUACAGAAGUGAGAAUGCCGGAAUGAGUAGCGCGAAUGUGGUGAGAAUCCACAUGGCCGGAAACCUCAGGUUUUUGGAGGAAGGUUCGUCCGCUCCAAGUUAGGCGGGAGCUAAGGUCAGGCCGAAAGGCGUAGCCGAUGCACAGACGGUAGAGAUUCCGUCCCCACCGAAAGAUUUAAGUAUAGGGACACUUUCAGAAGGUCAGAGCCAGGUGUUGGUUCUGGUAGUGAUCGAGGGAAAUUUAGUACCGAAGUCUGGCUGGAUGAGAGGCGAGAAAAGCUAUAUGUAUAUCUAAGGUGCCCGUACCGCAAACCGACACAGGUAGGUAGGAAGAAGAUUCUAAGGCCAACGGGAGAAGGGUUGUUAAGGAACUCGGCAAGUUGACCCCGUAACUUCGGAAUAAGGGGUGCUCACGAGAGUGAGCCGCAGAGAAUAGGCCCAGGCAACUGUUUACCAAAAACACAGGUUUGUGCUAAAUCGAAAGAUGACGUAUACGAGCUGACGCCUGCCCGGUGCUGGAAGGUUAAAAGGAGAUGUGCAAGCAUUGAAUUGAAGCCCCAGUGAACGGCGGCCGUAACUAUAACGGUCCUAAGGUAGCGAAAUUCCUUGUCAGGUAAGUUCUGACCCGCAUGAAAGGCGUAAUGAUUUGGGCACUGUCUCAACAGCCCGCCCGGCGAAAUUGUAGUACCGGUGAAGAUGCCGGUUACCCGCGACAAGACGGAAAGACCCCAUGGAGCUUUACUGUAGCCUGAUAUUGGGUUUCGGUGUUGCAUGCACAGGAUAGAUGGGACGCUGGGAAAGAAGCGCUUUGGCGUUUCUGGAGCGGACGUUGGGAUACCAUCCUUGCGACAUUGGAAUUCUAACCUGCGCCUCUGAAUCGAGGCGGGGGACAUUGUCAGGUGGGCAGUUUGACUGGGGCGGUCGCCUCCUAAAAAGUAGCGGAGGCGUUCAAAGGUUCGUUCGAUCUGGACGGAAACCAGAUGAUUGAGUGCAAACGCAUAAACGAGCCUGACUGCGAGACUGACGGGUCGAGCAGAGACGAAAGUCGGAGUUAGUGAUCCGGUGGUAUGUGAGUGGAAAUGCCAUCGCUCAACGGAUAAAAGUUACCCUGGGGAUAACAGGCUGAUCUCCCCCAAGAGUCCACAUCGACGGGGAGGUU